UUCAACAAUGGCUUCGUUUAAUUGGGAAGUCAACCAUGUAAUCAUACCACAAUCAAGACGACAGUCACUUCUGUGCUUUCUACACGGUCAUGUUGCCUUUUGAUGACUCGAGAUACUCCCGGAGCAGGUAGACAAGCGUGGCGCUGUGGCGUGGAUGUGCUCACAUUAGGGUGACUACAGCAAUUGACCCUGUUGGAAACCAAGCAGAAUUGGGGAGCAAAAUAAGGCGAUGCUGAUUUGACAUGCAGCAGUUGUCUUGGUGAAGACCCCUCUGUGCAGUGUCCGCUGACUAUCUCGGCAGAUAAAAAGGCCACAGAAUACACUGACAGAGCUUUAUUGGAAACAGAAGAAUACACUGCCUUCACAGCAUCUGGCAGCAAGACAGAAAGCUGUAUGACACUGGUUUAUCAAGUCUAUUGAUCUCUGCAAGGGUUUGAGUGAAAGAAUCUGUGGAAAGGAAAGGGAGAUGGAAAGGGAG